rnacentral:lncRNA from 1 species
GAGACCACGCAUUAUACAUUAUUUUGGGAGGAUUUGAAGAGAAAGAAGAAGGAAGAAAAGAAGAUUCAAUCUAAGAUUCAAGGUCUCACUUCAAAAAUUUCAAUAGGGUGAUAUCUUUUCUUGAUUUUUAUUGUUGUUUUCUUUUUACCAUCAUGCUAGGCUAGAAAAAUCUAUACUAGAAGAUCGAUGAACCUUGUAAUGUGAUAUUUAAUUCUUUGUUCCAUAUUUUUGACAUUAAAAUAC